UCCUCAUCAUCUCCAAUGCGUAUGCUGUACCUUUCCAGCUUCUCCAAGAGCAGGCCUCUGGGCAGAGUGCUGACGUCAUAGACGUGUAAUUCCAAAGAGGUCAAGUUGGGCAAAUGCUUCAACUCCUCAAGGCUUGCAUUCUUAACCCCUCCCACCUCCAUCUCCCAGUAACGAAAGCUUUGAUCUAUAUAUAGUUCUUCUAAAUGUGAUAAUUUUGACAGUAUAUUUGGUGGAAUAACUUCUAGAUAGCAACAAUCCCUCAAAUCAAGCAACUUUAGCCAAGUCAAUUCACCUACUUCUACCGGCAACUUCUUAAUAUAAGAACCUCUUAAGCAAAGGAUUUCUAGUUUCUUCAAGCCUCCUACAACACUUAUAUCGGGCAAGAUGAAGCCGCACAAACUCAGUGUUCGAAGGUUUGACAGGAGACCAAGUGAUGAAGGCAGUGACCGUAGAAACAUGCCAGUCAAGUUGACAACUCUGACCUGCAUCAUCCUCUCGAAAAAGUUGUUUGGAAUUGUUAAUGAUGAAAAUUCCCAACGAUCAGCACGUAUAAAAAGAAGUUCGAGCUGAGGACAUUCCAGUACUUCAGGAAGCAAAUUAUUCUUGAUACCAUGUAAGACGAUUGAAGUGCAAUGCUUUAUUGCACUUCCAUCUGACCAUUCCCUGCAACCAUCAACCUGCUCAUUUGUAGCAGUAAACACAUUUCGUUCAGUAGAUGCAAUUGAUACGGCGACAUCGCGAACUACAUCAUGCAUAGAAAACAACUCUUUCUUCUGGCUUAUAUGGUCAAGCAACAUACAAGAAGCUUUGAGUGUGCGCACCAAUGUAUGUACUCGAUUUCGUGCUACUUCAAUCUUAUUCACACCUUGAAAUAAACCCAAUCCCAUACCACACAUUAACAAGUCAUCAAUAGAUGCUAUGGCUGUAUAUCCUAUUAGCAAAAAGAUGUUCUUGAGAUCAUCCCUUCCUAGUUUAUUGUAGCUCAACUCGAUAGCUUUAAAUGCGGCUGGCUGUACAUCCUUAAAAUUCGAUGAAGAAGGCCUUCUUAGCUGUUCCAAUGCAUCCUUCCAUUCACGUAUGCUCUUGCUCCUUAAUGCCCUUGCAACCGUCACAAUGGAAACUGGUAGACCUGCACAUUCCUUUGCCACAUCCCUUGCUACCUCUUUCAAUUCAUUAUCUUCAACAUAAUCACCUGCCAUCUUCGUGAAUAGACUCCAAGCUUCAUCUUCUUUUAAAAAUCCAACUGGGAAAUUUUUUCGAGACUCCAUCUCUCCAGACAAUACUUCUUCACUCCUUGCCGUGAACAGCACUUUACAUCCCAUGUGAUCAUCUCCGUGAGGAAUUCCGACAUCCAACAAAUCAAGAUUUUCCCAAAUAUUAUCCAAGAUUACAAGGAUCCUCUUCUCUUUCUUCAGUCGAUCAUAGAGUCUUCUUGCCCUACCCGAUUCACUCUCCUCAUCAAAUUUUAGACCUAGUUUAUCCGCGAUUUCUCCUUGAAGCUUUCUUACGUCUCGACUCUCAGACACCUCAGAAAAAACCACCUGAUCGAAAAGCUUGUCACUCUCUGCUUUUCUAGCAACUUCUUUAGCUAGCGUCGUCUUUCCGAUUCCGCCCAUUCCAUAAAUCAAAAGCAUGUUGACAUUGGGAUUUUUUAAUGCAUCAAUUAUUUCAUUCAGAAUGGACGUUCUUGAUUCAAAGGCCUCGAAGUCUUUGUUAGGCAUAAGCAAGGUAUCCUCCGGAAUGAUGCUGUAGGAAAUACUAUUAACUGGUCUAGCGUCCAGGACUUUGACAACAGCCUCCUUCUGCCUCUCUGCUUCCUUGCUAAGUCGAGGGCGGGUCUUCAAAUUAGGACAUAACCCCUUGAAACAACGCUUAUUUGCAGUGGCUUCAUCUUCUGUAAAUUUAUCUGCCUCUUCAAUGACACUGUUGGCCGUUGCAAGCCAAUUCUCAACGUUCUCUUCAAUCUCUUCUCCUUUUCUUUUAGCCUCAUCAACCUGGUGCUCUGUAUUCACCCUCUCAGACUUUAGUUUCACAACUUCAGUGUUGAGAUUCUGUAAGUUGCUCGUGUACUUACUCUCACGCAAAUAGCUAAUUUGGCGAUAUGCGUGAGGAGCCAAGCACUUUGCAACUUCUAAAGCAAUAGUAAGAAUGAUUUCAGCCAUCUUCAGUCCUUUGUCCUUGUCUCUCUAUCUCUCUUUUUCUGAAUUUUGGAAAAACAAUUCAACAAGUGACCACAACAAGAUGGAACAAAAUAAAAAGGAAAAAAAUACAAAGAGUGGAUGGAGAAUAAAACAGAGACAGCGGCACAGCUAGACACAACUAGAUAGAGAACAGAGGAAAACCAAAUAACAAGACUUAAGAUUACAACAAACAGAGGCCAAGUAUUAUUGUUGAGAUCAGAAGAUGGAAAAUUCCAAAGAGUUGAUGGCAGAUGCUGAAUAACAGAACAACAAUGAACACAAUAAACAGAAGCAAAGUGUGUUUGUGAUCGACAGACGGAAGUAAGGAAAGCGGUUGUUGAUUGAAAAUGAAUGAAUGCAAAGAAAGACUGAUGUUAAAAAUUGAUGUCAAGGAAUAAUUGAACUUUCGCUGAAUUAUUGUUUGUGGCUUCUUUUACUGUUUAUUUGUGGGUCAUGUCUUUUGGAACUAAUCUUGUCCAAAAAAUGUUGUUUAUUUGUGGGUCAUGUUAUUCAGCAUCUGCCAUCAACUCUUUUGUUUAUUUAUUCAAAAAAUAAAUUGUGAUUAUUUGUUAAUGUAUGCGAUUACUUGUGAUGGUAAACAAAGUAGAUAUGGUAUAUUUUGAAGUUAAAUUAAAAAAAAAAAAAACAGAACUUUUACCGUUACUUGCCUUAUCAUCUUUUAAAUUAGAGUUAUUAUUCUUUUAUUUUUCAAGUUGCCAACUCAUCAGUGUAUUCUUUUAUUGAAUUUAAAGAUCAAUGAUUAUAAAUUUUUGUGAAAAUUUUAAGUCAAAACUUUAAAUUAAAAUAAUCUUUAAGUUAUAGGGAAAUAAUAACUUAGUAUAACAAAUAUUAUAUCCUAUACUUUAUUGCUACAAAAUUACGAAACCUUAUAGUUUCAAAAACAAAAAUUACGAAACCUUAUAUUAUAUUAUGUUUCCAUAUUUCUCCUUUAUAGUGAAGACUCAUACUUCUUAUCUAAUAAAUGCUAAAGUAUUGGCUUAAAUUUUUUAACCAGCAUAGUAGACCCUUAAGCUAUAUAUACUAUAAUGUCCCUCUUCUCUCACAGAGUAAACCAAUCUGAUCUCAGAGUGAGUUGAUACCAUGACUUCGCAUCAUUUGUGAUCAAAGGAGUAUCAUUACUAACUAAUAUAGGCUCCAUCAAUAGGCAUGAUAAUAAUUUUUUUUUUUAUCUACAAACGCUGUUUUUCAAAAUAUUAUAUCUUAAGACUUAACUAAAUAUUUUUUAACUAUGUAGAUAUAGUUUGUUUGAUCUCUUUUAAAUAGUGGAGAUUACAAACAAACAUAUGUGAAUUAGUAGUGAUGUUGAGUUCAGAAGCUUGAAGUUAAAAAAAUUAAGGGUUUCUUGAUCUAGAGAAAUUUCAAAUGAGUGAAGCGUCCUCGAAAUCGGAAGACGAAAAUAAGGAAAGGGUAAGGGUGUAUUUUCAAAGUGAUUCUAUUAAGAGAUCUUUGAAGUAGGGGUGGGCAAGUCGGGUUUUGGUUCGGGUUGUUCAAAUUUCGGUUUGGGUUUUAACCCAAUCGGGUUUGAGAAUUAAACUCAAUCGGGUUGAAAACGCCAAUCCAAACUAAACCGAACCAAAUUUAAUUCAGUUCGGGUUCAUAAUUCGGAUCGGACUGGGUUGAUAAUUCAUGUUAAAAUUUCGAUUCGGGUUAAUUUGGGUUAGAAUAAUUCAAUCUAAAAUUUUGGGUUAGUUCGGUUUAAAACGGGUUGGAACUAUUUAAUCCAAAAAUUCUACCAACAACCACUUAAAAUCUAAAAAUCUCAAUUCCAAACAUCCUUAACAACAAAUAUCAACUACAAACCAUCCUUUACAACAUUUCAACAAUAACAAUAGCAAUAAUAACAACAACAACAAUAAUAAUAAUAAUACCAACAACUAUGAAUCAGCAAUUCAACAUAUUGCCAUAUUCUAAAUUUAAAAAAACACACAAAUUAUUUAAUUAAUUAAUUAAUUAACAAUCUCCAAUUUAAUUUAUAAUAACAACAAAAAUCCUCUCCAAUUUAAUUAAUAACAGUCUCCAAUUGUUUAAUUAUCAGUCAACAGCAACAAACCCAAUCUAAUUUAAUCAUAACAAUCUCCAAUUGUUCAAUUAUCAGUUAACAGCAACAAAUCAUCUCCAAUUUGUCACGAACAGCCUCUAAUUGUUUAAUUAUCAGUCAACAACAACAAACACACUCCAAAUAAUUGAACAAUUAUUAAUUAAUUAAUUAAAAAUACCCAAUUUAAUUAAUAACAACACCCAGGAGCAAGUCAGCAAUAAACCCACUACAAAAUCCAAAUAUCAGUGUAAACUAAGUGUCAAACCUUGAUCGGUGGGAAGCUACAGCGUCGGCAAAGCGUGACCGUGUGGGGCUGAGUGAGACCGUCGACCGAGGGUGUGAGAAGGGAGAAGAGGGAGCUGGGAGGUAACAUGGUGUGUGUGAGUUUAUAUAUAUAUAUAAUUUUUAAAAGCCAAAACUUAAAAAAAAAAAAAUUUAACCCAAUCCAAACGCGCACCUCAGAUUACUUCCGUGUUAAGAGAUGAAUCCCACACUCUUGAGCCUUUGUCGUCCUAGUCAACUAUCAAAACAAAUCAUUAUUGAAUGUGAACAGAAUUAUUGAUCACCCAAUUUUCAAACUUGUCAUCCUUAUUGAAUCUGCAUUCCCUUUUAAAAUUUUUUAAAAAAGUACAAAUAAUGAAACAAAGUGUUGUUCCUUCAACAGUUGAUAGAGUUACGCGGCUUCAACUUGCAAGUGCUGUCGGCAUUUUCAAACUUGCAAUACCCUUCAACUUGCUUUCCAAGAUAGCUAUAAUUAAUAAUGACAACAAUCUCCCUUGUAGUGACUAGUGAGCAACUUGUUUCGUGAAAUUAACGGCAUCUUCUCUCACAUUUAAAAAAAAAAAAUUGAAUUAUAAAACCCACCAAAACUAUAAAAGAAUUGUUAGUUUUUCUUCAUUAAAAUUAAUAGAUUGCUCCUCAUAUUGAAAAAUCAAAAUUCAGAAUAAGAAUGAUUGAUACUCUUUAUUUACUAAAAUGAAAAUAAAAUAUAUGAAGCCUACAUAUUUUUGAAAUAAAAAAAAAGAACUUUAUUUUUCAUGAGGAGUGUUGGGAAUCAAGUUCUCAUUAUUUAAACUCUCAAUUGUACCAUUAUUUAAACUCUCAAUUGCACCUCACCGAAAUUUCAUAAUUUCACUUUUGUUCUCAAUUAAAAUAUUAUUAUAGUUAUUAUUCUUAUAAAUGUUGAUGAUGAUGAUACAAGAUAAUAAAAUUAAUGAUAAUUAAACCAAUUUGAAUUCAGAGUGAGUGAGUACCAUUACUUCGCAUUAUUUGAUAUCAAAGGAGCAUCAUAACUAACUAAUAUAGGCUCGAUCGAAUUCAUCAUGCGAAGUAUAUUAUCGGCUGUAGGUAUGGAAAUAAAUUUUGUAUCCACAAACACUAUUUUUCAAAAUAUUUUAAGACUUGACUUAGCAUUUUUUAACCAUAUAUGUAUAGGUUGUUUGACCUAUUUUAAAUAGUGGAGAUUACAACAAAUGAACAGAUGUGGAUUUGUAGAGUUGUUGAGUUCAGAAGAUUGAAGUUAACAAAGGGUUUCUUUAUCUAGAGAAAAUUCGAAAGAGCGAAGUGUCUUCGAGAUCAAAAGACGAAAUAAGGAAAGGGUAAGGUUAUACUUUCAAAAUGAAUCUGUUGAGAGAACUUUAAAGAUUACUUUCGUUAAGAGCUGGAUCCCACACUUGAGUCUUCGUCGUCUCAGUCAGUCAGCUAUAAAGACAAAUUAAUUUUGAGCGUGAAAGGACACAAUUGAUCACCAAAUUUUCAAACUCGUGAUCCUUAUUGAAUCUGUAUUCUCAUUUGAAAAACAAUAAAAGAUUAACAUUAAUUUAACUUCAUCUAGAUUCCCAUUUGAAUCUGCAUUCCCAUCCCGUUGUUCUCUGGGAAUGCACAUAAUCAAAAAAAAUCCUAUCCGCAUUUUCAAACUUGUGACCCUUCAAGCUUUCUAUGACAACUAUAACGAAUAAUUACAACAGUGCUACCUAAUAGUGAGCAACUUGUUUGAUGAAAUUAACAACUUCUUUUCUCUCAUAUAUUUUUAAAAAAUUGAAUUAUCAAAGUUUUUAUUUCAAAAUUAGUGCUAUAGUUCAUUAAUUUUUCAAAUUUUCCUUUUUCUUUCCACACAACAGAUUGAUUUGCCCUCCAAAAAAUGUAUUAUAUUGUUUAAUAUUGUAACUUCAAGAAACUUAUAAUAAAUUUUUAAAGAGAUAAAUAGAGAAUGUCAGUCUCCCAUCUACUCAAAAUUAAUAUAUAUCAUUAACUCUUGAUUAUUUUUAUAACAACUAAUAACUUUCUUGGCAGCAUAAUUUUACAGUAUCAUCCUUGUUUGUAAGUAUAUUUUUAUUCAUAUUUAUUAUAAAUUAAUUAAAUCAUAUCAAUGAAAAUUGAAAUAAAAAUUGAAGUACUAAAAAUUAAAAAAAUAUAUUUUGGUGUGAAUAAAAAAUUGAAAAUAAAAAUAUUUUUCUUAUAUUUUUUGUUAUUUUUAAAUUUUUUCUUAUAAUAAAUGUAUAUUUUAUAUGCUCAACUUUUUCUUUUAAUUUUUGUUAUUAGGAGGAUUUUUAGAUAUAAUGAAAUUUGUAAGGUAGUAAGUAAUAUAUAAUAAUUUUAAUAGAGAAAAGUAAAAAAUCUCUUAUUUUAAAAUAUAAGGAGAAAAAUAAUUAAUUUCAAGACAUUUUAGAAGAUAUUUCAAUACGCGGUGGACCACAAACUCGAGUCUUUGUCAUCUCAGUCAAACUAAAAGGACAGAAUAUUGAGGGCAUGGCUAAGGUGCAGAAGCUGCAAGUAACAGCUUCGAACUUUCCCAUUUCCAUCACCUUGCAUUGGGACCUCUUUCUUUGUCCUCUAGCACCCGUGGAAGUUCCCCAUUGGCCACUGUUAGGAGCUGUAACAUAGACUUCUCCGAAAAUUGAGCGCGAAGGGCUCAAGUGAUUGUUAAUUUCACAGCAAUUGCCUUUUUUCUUUCUUUUUUUUUUUCUAAUUAUUGGAAAAUAUAAUUUAGUAUAACAAAUAUUAUAUCCUUUCCUUUAGUGCUGCAAAAAUUCCGAAACCUUAUAUUAUAUAAAGUUUUCAUAUUUCUCCUUUAUAGUGAAGACUCAUACUUAUUCUCUAGUAAAUGCUAAAGCAUUGGCUUAAACUUUUUAACCAGCACAGUAGACCCUUAAGCUAUAUAUACUAUAAUGUCCCUCUUCCCUCACAGAUUAAAGCCAAUAUGAUCUCAGAGUAAGUUUGCUUCAAAGGAGUAUCCUUACUAACUAAUAUAGGCUCGAUCAAUAGGGAUGAUAAUAAUUUUUUUUUAUCUACGAACAUUAUUUUUUCAAAAUAUUAUAUCUUUAGACUUAACUAAAUAUUUUUUAACCAUAUAUGUAUAGUUCGAUUAAAUAGUGGAGAUUACAACAAAACAGAUGCGAAUUAGUAGUGAUGUUGAGUUCAGAAGAUUGAAGUUAAAAAAAUAAAGGGUUUCUUGAUUUAGGGAAAUUUCAAAAGAGUGAAGCGUCUUCUAAAUCAAGACGAAAAUAAGAAAAGGGUAAUGGUGUAUUUUCGAAGUGAUUCUAUUGAAAGAUCUUUGAAGAUUACUUUCGUUAAGAGCUGGAUCCCACACUCUUGAGCCUUUGUCGUCCCAGUCAACUAUAAAGACACGUUAUUAUUGAGUGUGAAUAUUCCGAGUUAUAAAUCACCAAAUUUUCAAACUUGUGAUCUUCAUUGAAUCUGCAAUCCCUUUUGAAAAAAAAAAAAGAAAAAGAAAGGAAAACUGCAAAUAAUGAAACAAAAUUCUGAUCCUUGAUAGAGUUACGCGGCUUCAACUUGCAAGUGCUGUCGGCAUUUUCAAACUUGUGAGACCCUUCAACUUGCUUUCCAAGAUAGCUAUAAUUAAUAAUGACAACCGAAGACGGCCACGUUUGCGGUACAAAAGUUGCACCAUAUUAGACGUUCUUUUUUGUUCUUAUCCGAAGUAACCGUUGGAUUCAAAGGAAAGUGAUCAGACAUUCAAUAGCUUCACACGUGGACAUUAUAGGAUACCGGUCAAAUCGGUUAGCGCUCCUCCACAUCAAACUCACAAGCAUGGCAAUCAUCGUAUUCGUAUCAGCUUGGAAACUUGUUACAAGUAACGAAGAGCAACAGAGUCCGCUCCUCUAGAGUCGGCAACAGAGUUUUAAUUAACGGCAUCUUCUCUCACAUUUUUUUUUAAAAAUUGAAUUAUAUAACCCACCAAAACUAUAAAGAAUUGUUAUUCUUCAUUAAAAUUAAUAUACUGUUCCUCAUAUUAAAAAAUCAAAAUUCAGAAUAAGAAUAAUUGAUACUGUUUAUUUACUAAAAUGAAAAUGAGAAUAAAAAUAAAAUAUAUGGAGCCUAUAUAUUUUUUAAAUUAAAAAAUAAGAACUUUUCAUGAGGAGUGUUGAGAAUCAAGUUCUCAUUAUUUAAACUCUCAAUUGUACCUUACCAAAAUUUCAUAAUUUCACUUUUGUUCUCAAUUAAAAUAUUAUUACAGUUAUUAUUCUUAUUUUUGUAGUUGUUGUUGUUGAUGAUGAUGAUUAUGAUGAUACAUGAUAAUAAAAUUAAUGAUAAUAAUAAUGAUAAUGAUAAUGAUAAUAAUAAUAAUGAUAUGAUAAUGAUGAUAAUAAUUUGAACAACAACAACAACAAUAAAUAAUAAUAAUAAUAAUGAAAAUAAUAACUAUAAUUUUAACAACAAUAAUAAUCAUUAAUAUUAUUAUUGUUAAAAUUAUUAUUAUUAUUAGAUAAUUAUUUUGAAUAAUAAUAAUCACAAGUCUAUUCUGAUUCCAGUUUAUUCCGAUUAUCGAUUAGAAAAUGCAUCAUUACUGUUUUAAUAAUAACUAAUAAUUCUCUUGACAUCAUAAUCGUAAUUCUUAUACUAUUAUCCUUAUUUUAAAAUCCACUACCAUGAGCUUGCAUCAUUUGAAAUGGUAGGUACUAGGUAGCAAUUGCUUACAUCAAAAUAUCUAGACUCACUCGGCAAAGUAUCCGAGGCCAAAACGCCAAAAGAUGGGACACCCACAUGUGCAUCUAAUUACAAAAUCUAAAGUUAAUGAAAAAGAAAAAAGAAAAAGUAUAAAUGAACGGUAUUGGCUGUAGGACAAGGGGAGGGGAAAAAGGACCAUUUUGUUUUCUUUGCUAAUUCACAUGGGGAAGGGAAAAAAAGAAAAAGACAGUUUUGAUUAAAAAACACAGAAUAUUCAAUUCACAAGCCACCAAUGCUUGUGGACCAAUGGUCGAUAUAUGAAAGUUAGAGAUUCUGGCAAAAUGAGCAAAUAUUUUGAGUUGAUUAAUGGAUUUGUUUGUAAUGCAAUACAAGAUAGCAUUUUAAAGCUGGCAAGAAAGAAAGAAAUAAGUCAAUAAUUGAGAUAUUUAAAGAAGCUCAAGUGGUCAUGAAAUCUCUCCUUAAAAACUAUACAAGAUAAUGUUAAUGAUAAAGUUAGCCAACCAAGUCGUUCAAUCAUUGCUAGAAGCAAGCAGCCAUUGAAGUUGAUAGAAGCUAAUGCAUGGAAAAAGGUUCGUUACAUAAAGGAGAUAAUGAGAAAAUUGAUGAACCCCUAUCAUCCAUGUUUUGUUUCAAUCAAAAGGUUUGAAUUUUAAGGCCGAUAUUUUGGACUGAAUCCCCCUGUCUGCUUCCAAAGGGGAGGAUGUGCAUGUAGUUGAUUGGGCCGAUGAUUGUGAUGGGAGGGAACUUUUAGCUUGGAAAUGGACCUAGCAAGCCCAUGUUUGAUUCGGUAAGUUGUGACUUCUCAUGGGCAUUUGAAAUUUUUAAAUGGCCUUUUAUAACCUUUGUCAAGAUUCUCAGAAAUCGAAUCAUUCGGUGAUUACUUGCAAAUUCGGAAAGGAAAUUGGAAUCAAACUGGGGUUCUAAUUAAAAAAAAAAAGGGUUCAGAAUCAGAAUUUUGUUCUUUUGACUGACUAAACUACCCUCAUUUAAUUUUCAAAAUGCCCAAAUUUUUAUCAUGCUCACUUGGCGUUAUCUCGUCUUGUGGGAGCUGUAGGACAGUUGAGAUAAAAGAUAUUGCUCCAGUAUCUACUGUUUUCUCAUCCUGAUCUUCAGAGUUAUUCUCAACAAUGGACAAAUUUGAGUUUAGAACAGCAUCAGAAACCAAUGACACCCAGUCGCAUCCAGCUACUUCUUCACUUUGCUCAAUUCGACAGAUUUUACGCAAAUUUGUUUUGUUCUCAAAAUAGUCUGCUGCUCCCGGAUUGUCCUCAUUACAUUGAACGAAUGAUGACGACGCUCUGUCCGUUUCUGGCUCUCUGCUUUUCUCUUUCACAUCACGAGACACCUCGUUUCUAACUGGGGUACCACCAUCACAUUUAACUGUUAUUGGCAACUCAAUAGCUAAUUCCAAUGUUUCCUCAAGCAGUUUAGAGAUAAACUCUCUCGCUGAACUCCCUGGAGUAACACAAUCCAGUUUUCCAGUGCAAUCAUCAAACAGUUGAACAGCUCCUGAAUUCCCUUUGCUUUUCUUGUUUUCUUUUCCAUGUAAAGGGAGCUCAGGCUUCAAUAUAUCUGGGGAUUGAUUACUAAUGAUAAAGACAACAUGCUGUAGAGGACACAAAUUGUUAUUAAACAACGAUGCACUUUUCAUUUUUCAACUGAGUACGGUAAAGCAAGAAUGGGUAAUUAGUUUUACCUGCUAAGCGAAAAUCUACACUCCCGAAGGUAACCGAUCUUGGGUGAAGCAAAUAAAGACGAAGGCGAAGUAAAAUUCACUGAGUUGAAUGAGCGAUCAUUGCUGAUAUAAUUAAAGACUGGUGAAUCCUGCAUGUUGACAAGCAUCAUUUUUAAUCUAACAUAGAGUCUUAAAAACCUGGUCAGUGGCAAAUGAUCACGACAACAAAUCUGAAGUACAAACAGCAGAGCUCAACAAAUCACUAAGAGAAAAUAACACCAGUAACCAAGCAGAUGAAAGAAAAGCAAAAUAAUCCAUCUCAAAUCACCACAUGCACAAUUUAAGGGGGUUGUGACAUGGGUUUAAGCAUGAUUUAACAAGUGCCACCAGUGAAUUCUCAGAUUGAAUUUUCAUACACAUGUCAAAUUUUCAAGUCCAACGAAUUGUUAUCUUUCUGAAGAUAUUAACUAUGCAUAGCAUGCUAUAAACAAAUCAUAUUAUUAGGGCCUUUGUUUGCUGUACACAACAUAUGUACAGAGGAACAAAUCCAUGAGCUGAAAUCAUCAUAUUCCAAAAUAUUCUACCCAAUCAACACUACAAAACCGUAACGCUAAACAGAAUUGGAGCAAUUUAAGAAAGCUAUUUGUCACACAAAGCACUAGUACCUCAGAACCCAAUUUGCAAAAAAGCAACAAAAAUGAAAAAUAACAAAUGCCCAGAUGCAAAAUCAGGAAAAAAUGCUCAAAUACAAACUACAACCCCAUAAGCUGAGAUUGACCUCAAACUUGGAAACAGAAGCGACAGUGAUCUGUUUCUUGUCUGGAGUGUCCAUUUCUAUAAUCUACUUUGUCCGUUUUCAGUCGCUCCGCCACAAAGCCUCUUCACUCCGAAGCUGAAACUCGCCACACACUUGCAAAACGAAAGCAUUUGAUUGAUUGAGAGGCGGGAAGGCGGGAAAACGAGCGAAAUUUGCUUUUGUUUUUUCUUCGUUUGGUCAUACAUGUGCGGGCCCCCCAGGUUGACAAGCGUUAUCAUUACUAUUUGCAUUAUUUGAAGGACGCGUGUCAUGCAACGACGAUAGAAAAAGUGGUGCAAAACUCCAAUUGUCACGAAAUGAUGAUAAAAUAAAAAUAUAUCGUUAAUUUUUCACUUAACAUUGGAAUAUCAUAUAAUUUUAUGGUCAUUUUCUCGCCGCCACAUUCUUUUGAUAAAAUAAUACGGUAAAACUUUUCUAUAAUCAUGAUAUUAGAACCCAAUUAACUUUGUUUCUACAAAGAGGUUAUAGCUUAAUAAAGUAAAAUUGUAAAAAAUAUUAUUUUGACUUAAUUAUCUAAAGAGUAAAUAUAUAAUAAUUAAUUAAUAAAUUAUGUCAAAUACAAUAUAUGGACUAUGAUAAAAAAGAUAGACAUAAUUUCAUAAAAUUAAUACAUAUGUUUUUGUAGUGCUGCGAUUAUACAAAGUUAUCUUAAAAGUGUAAAGAGUAAAGUAUUGUUUUAAUUAAUUUAAAAAAAUAUUUUAUUAUUAACCUUUAAUGCAACAUAGUAAUUUUUUUUCCCUGGCAACAAAGUAUUGUUCCAAAUAAUUAUUAUUGGAUCUAGAUCCUGCCCUAGGCAUUUUCUCUACUAAUCCUCAUAAACUUUUAGGGUAUGUUUGGCACGUAAGAUUAGAUUGGACAAACUAUUAUGAUUGGACUAACUUAGAAUGGAUUAGAUUAGAUUGGAUUAUAUAUAGUGCUGACUUAUGUUUGGUAUGGUAUUGGAUUAGAUUAUGUUAAAUUAAAUUUACAUAAAAUUAAAUAGUAUUUACAUUAAUAUUUGAAUUUAAAUAUCAACUAUUUAUAGAUAUUUAACAAGAAAUAUUAUAAUUAAUUAAAAAUAGCAAUUGGGUAGUCAUAAUUAUAAUAAAGAAAUAUAAAUUAUUUAAAUUAUAGGUUAUUUCAAAGAGUGAUGAUACAACCACAAAUUCUUGUACAAACUGAUUUGGCAUUAAUUCAUUUAUUGAAUGAAAAUAUAAAAUAAUAAAAAUAAAUCAUGUGGGCCCAAGAUAUAUUUAAUUCAACCAAUUUUAUCAUGCCACAUCAGUUUGUACAAAAAUUUGUGAUUAUAUUAUUACUCUAUUUCAAAUGAGAGAUAUCAUUUCAUUGAAUAAAAUAAAUAAAAUUAUUCAAAUAAUAAAUUAAUUAAUAAAAUUUAAGUAAAUCAUGAAUAAAAAAGAAAUCAAUUAAUUAAAAACAGUAAAUAAUUAAAUAAUUUUUAAUUUAUAAAUAAAAUGGUAUAAUAAAUUAUGGAAGAUACUAUAAAUACACAAAUAUUUUUUUCACAUUAUCUAGUUCUAACUAAACACACAUAAAAAUUAGGAUUAGCAAUCCCAUGAAUUUAGGAUUAAAAUUUGAAUUUAGUCGAUUAAUCCAAUACAAGUGAGCAUGCUAAAUAUGGUAUUAAUAUUUUAUCCCAGUAAUAAGUCCAAUUCUACACUUAAUCGUACCUCCCAAAUAUAAUCUUAAGGAUCUAUUGACAUGUGUCAUUAAUGAAAUUAAAUGGCUAAGAUUUUGUUUUAAUUAUUUUUUACCUAAAUAGACAUCAAAACUCAUGUGUGACUCUUGUUAAAUUUUUUCUUACAAAUUCUUUUCCUCUUAAUUCUUUAUAUUUUGACACUAAUUUCCAGCAAAUUAUUUAAAAAAAAGGAGCACAAAUUGGAAAAAAGUGAUUGACAACAAGGUUUGCAUCUUAAUUUCAAAAUUUUCCUUUCUUUGAUGUUUUUGUGGUUUCUAUAAUUGUUGUUUUCACUCUAAGUUGCAAUUCAAUGAACUAAAUUAGUGUUGCUACUUUAUAAACUGCUAUUACUGGGCAUAUAAUUCUAUUGCUACAAUUUUUUUGAGUUUAUAGUUUCUGUUCUAUUCUCUUUUUGGGUUUGCAACUGCUGUUUGUUGUUUUUUUAGGUUUUAUAGUUGAUGUUUUGGGAAAAAUAAAAAUAAAUGUGAUCUUGAAUUCUUUAACUACUAUGAAACAAUUAAAUUAUUUAGCUGCUGCAUUUUCUGCUGUAUUAUUAUAGGCGAGAUGUGUGUCGAAAGGGAAAGAAUUUGCCUAAAAAAAAAAAUUGACAAGAGUCACAUGUGAGUUUAGAUGUCUUUUUUAAGUAAAAAUUAAUUAAAAUUAAAUAUUAGCCAUUAAUAACACAUGUCAAUAAAUUUUUCAAAGUCUAAGAAGAUUGGAAGAGGAUCCGAUCUAUUAUUUACUCUAUAAAAGGAAGUUCCUUGAAGACAAGAACUAUAAAUAAAUUAAUAUAAUGAAUUUAUUCUUAACCUAGUCUAAAUUGAGACUAAAAUUUUUUACUUAAAAAUUUACUAGCUAGCUUUACCUUGAUGGACUAGCUAUGGCCCAUACACAUUUCUCCAAUUUUAUUAAUAUUUUUGUGCAUAGCAAUUAGGGAUACGUGACAAUAAAUUAUCCUUUUAACAUAUAAAAAGUAUUCUCACAAGUAGUGUGCCCCUCCAAAGGGCACAGACAGACUUUUAGCCUCUUUCUUCGGUUUACCACUCCAGUUGGAAUCUUCAAUAAGAUUAAACAUUGAAUAUAUCUAAAAUAUUAGCAAUAUUUGUACUUAUAUUUAACAAAACUAGAGUAAUAUAUUGAUUAAUCUACAUAAUUUUGGGCGGGUUCUUAUGUAAUGUUACAAUUAACAUAGAUUAUUUUCACGGUAUAAGGCAAAUCUUGAGAAUGAACCCAUUUCAAUAUGGUUUCCACAAUAAAUGAACCCACUUUACUACCAAUGAAAGGCCUUGACUCAUAUAUAUCCACCUGGAAAGAAGGGGGGGGGGGGGGAGAGAAGAAAUCUUCUAAUUUCUUUCACCAUCAACAAAAUCAGUGAAACACAUACUAAUUCAAAAUAAAAUAAACUUUGUGAAUUGAAAUAAUGCCUGCUCUAAAGAAAAUGAUAACUGCUAUUCAUUUUUCUGAACUGCUGAUAAAAGCUUCUGCUAUUUACUUCGAAAAAAUUGAGUAACUUCAAAUUUUGAGUUUAGGCAAGAGGAUGAAUGGUAAAAGUGAGACAUUUUAGGGGAAAAGUAAAUACUUGAUAGGCCAAUGAAACAUUCAAAAGAUUGAAAUCUAAAUGAGCAAAACCUCAUGGCCUUGAGGCCCUUGAUCCAACAAUUCCACUGCUGUUGACAUGCCUGCAAGCCCAACUCCAAUAAUAGCCACUUUCAGCUUUGGUCCUCUAUAAUGUUCCGGUUCUGGUGGAAACAAACACUUGGGAGCUGCCAAGUAUACCAUUCAAUUAUCCACAGCGAUAUUGGAAAAACAUACAUGUUUGAAAGUACUAAAUAUCAAAUGUCUCCCGAAAAAAAUACAAAGCACAAUUGCAUAAGCAUUUCAUUUCCCAAUAAAUUUCAAGAAUACAAAAUACUUGGUCUGUUCUUGAGUUCCUUUAAGAAAAUUUCCACGAGAGAGCACGCAAGCCACUCAAUAACACUCCAAAGUCAGAUUUUAAACGUUAUCUUGAUCUAUAAGUACAAUCCAUGAACCAUUCUGCCACAAAUUCAAUUAAAAAUUAUUCAAGUAAAAUGCCAAAUUCUCCUUCAAUAGCCUCAAAAAUUCAUAACUAGCAAACACUACAGAACAAAAAGAGCUCCCAGCAAUAAACGCAUAAAAAUCCCACCAGAAACCAGAAAACCCAAAAGAUCAAUACUUGGUAAACAAACAAAUCAAAUCAAAUAAAACAAAAAGAAGAGAAAUUUACCAUUAACACUCAUAUCAGAAACGUUAGUAUCCAAAGAAGCCCGUACACAGAAUCUUGGAACCUUCACUUGAACCCGAGACCAACAAACACCAGUAACUGAAGUUGCAGGAAACAGAAGUGAAGAACCCAUAUUGAAAUAAAAGAAUCCAAACCCAAAGUGCCACAUCUAAAUAUGAUGGAUCCACUUAAAAUAAACAUAUAAAAAUCUUCAAUAUGAGUGCGAAAAUGUGUGGGGGAAAAAACUAAAAAGUGGUUUACCAUGCAGCAAUAUGAAUUUUAAGCUCUCUUUUCUUAUGUCACUCAAGGCAUUGGCUGGAUGGCCAAACAGCAGAGUUCAAGUGUACAAUAGAGAAUCGAAAUUUUCCUUUGUAAAUGUUCAUAAGUAUUUACCACAGAUUUUUAAGUUAUUCUUGAUAGAUCCCCUACCACAUACGCUAUAAUAUUUCUCUCCUUUUAAUUUAAAAGUAAAUCAUGCAUAAUAACGCACUUGUAAAGAAAUGAAAUUUUCGGUAAUUAACUGACAAAAUAAAAAAAAAGGAUUAUGCGAAAGAAGUUAAUAUAGAGUAAGUCGAGUACUUGACAAUCAAAGUAAUUUACUCGAGGUUGAGUAAGGAUAGUACGAUACUUUCUCAAGUUUUCUGAGGACAUUCAUGUGACAUUGGACUAUUGAUUAUAGUUAGAGAGAAGUCCAAGGAUGUAAGUGAUGAUGAUAGAUUCAGAAUUCUUUUGAAGAAAAUAUUUUAUAUAAACUUAAUUAUAUGGUAUAAAAUGAUUGGCCUUAAUAAAAUUAAAAAAUAAUAAAAAUAAUACACGCCUGGGUCAUGCAAUAUUUUCAACCAACUAAUUUACACGCAAAAUUAAAACUUUAUGAGUACAUUUAUUUGCUAGCAGAAACUCUGCCAAAUUUUCCGAAAUGUGAAAGUGAACACUUUUAACAGCGGCACAAAAUGCCUGUGAUAAUGAAACAAUGUGCCAUCCUUAAACUAAUAUUAUUAGAAACUAUAAGUGAAAGUUUUCAGAAAACAUGUGAUAAGUUUUUCUCGGAAUUUGUUUUCUCCUUUGUUUUGAUUUACGCGAGAGAUAGUUGUAAAGAUUGUUUUGAUAAGUUUUCAGAAAACAUGUGACGAAUCGUAGUAAAAAAUUUAUACAUAAUAAUUGAAUGAGAUCCAUGGUUCACAAUUGCAAAUUAAAGGUUGGUUUUAUAAUAAAAAUCGUUUUGUGCAUACCAAAUUAGAAAAGAUUAUAAGUAAAUUAAGAUUUUCAAAAUUUGACUAGUACUAUAUUACGUACAUCAAUAUAAUAUAAAUUUGUUAUAUUUAUAUAUGUUAUUCUGUAACUAAUGCUUUCAAAAAUUUUAUACUUGUAUGUUUGAACAACUUUUUUUCGCUUUCUAUUUAUAUACGAUAUUAUUUAUGUUUACAUAAAUUUUCAUAUGUACCCAAAUUAAGUAUUAAAUACACACACUCUGGUAAGACACAUUUCUAGUAUCAGACAAUGAUAUUAUAUUGAAUGUAAUGCUUCAAUGAAUUUUAUUACUAUAUACUAAAAUACUCAACGAUCUUCAUUAAAAAAAAAAAAAAGAAAUUGCAUGAUUAGAAUGAUUAAAGUUCAUUUAAUGACGAGUUUCAUCAUUGACUGUGUCGAAACAGAACAGCAAUCCACAAUACACUCAACACGAGAGGCGCACACAAGCAUGCAUGAAUCUUCCACCAUUAAACCUGAAAUCAUAAAAUGAAAGAAACAAGGUGAGUGUUGUUUUACGGUCUGAAAGCCGAUUCGAAAUAAUAAUAAUAAUAGACCUUUGUUAAUAGUUACUACUAGUGGUCACUGCCUUGUCCAUCUUCCUUCUCUGUAUUAUCGUCCUCUUCCAAGCCGCUGUCAUCUGACCAAACCCCAGCAACCAUGGGAAAAAUCACCUACUUGUUUUAGGAGCAGGAGCAGGAGCAGGAGGAGGAAAUUAAGUUAGGGAUUUGGAGUGAUAGGGAAAAAGCUGAUUGUUGAGAAAUAUGUAUACCUUUUGUAUGGUUGUGUUAAGGUCGCCCUUCCAAGCCCAACGUGCUUCACUCCGCCGCUGCACUUCGUGUAAUUUGGGUGUACUUAAAUUUCCUUCAGAGAAAAUCUUCAUAUCGGGGCAAUCAUCCACCACUAAUAUUUCCAAAGAUGGGAACUUGAAAGCACAAUUGCCAGAGCAGAAGCUUGUCAAACUUUUUAAGUCUAAAAGCUUCAACUCCUUCAAUUCUCUGAAAGUAAUAACCUCAUCUUUUGCCACAACAUCAUCCACCAAUACUAUUUCUGUUAUCAUAACGCAUGAUUUUAUCUUCAUAUAUCUAAGUCGCACCAGAGACUUUGCAAUUGAGGAUGUUAAUACGAUUUUCAAUCUUUCGCAACUGAAUACCACCAGAUUUGUAAGAUUCUGAAAGGAUGUCGACGAUGGCACUAGAUUGACCAAACGGUCACACCCCUUUACACGUAGAAUAACCAAGUUGUUCGUAACAGAGGACUCCCUUAUCAAAAUGUUCUCCAGAUGAUAACAAUUAUUUGCUUCACUUAUUUCUACUGCCAUACCAUUUUCAACCUUCUCUUUCGGCGACCGGCCACCAUAUCCUUGUAUUUGGAGGACUUUCAUUGUGUGAAGUCUCUGGAGGAAGUCAUCAAGUGAUACAAUAGUCGGCUCAUCAACCAACUCCACAAAAAGAUAUUUUAGUUUGCAAAGCAAGUCUUCAAAAAAUAGAUAUUUAUUUGUUCCUAUGUACUUUGCAUCAACUUUCAACUCUUCCAAAUUAGGGAAUACCUGGGAGAUCGAUCAGAACCAAAAAAAAAAAAAAUACAAGAUGAAUCAGUUGAUGAGAAUUAUAAGUUACCACUAAUUUAUACAAUAUAUUUUAUUCAAUAAAUCAAUAAAUACAAGAUAAACUUUCACAGUACAUACAUAAGAAUUGAAAAAUUGAUUAUAAAACUCUUGUACGUACCCUUUCCGUCAAGAUAUUAGUAGUUCUUUUGCAUCUCGCCAUGAAUUCAGGACAUCCAGAUAUCCCUAAUUCUUUCAAGGAUGGAAAUUCAAGAUUAUCAAGAUCUCCAGUGCAGAAGCUUGUGAACUUUUCAAGAUCAGACAUCCUCAGAGAUUGCAACUGGGGAAACGUUACAAUAUUAUUCUUCAUUUCUUCUUGGUUGUCCACGACUAUUAACUCUUCCAGGACAGGACAUUUGACUAUCAUAAUGUGUUGGAGUCGAACAAAGCUACUAACUGUACAAGAUGAAAAUAGACAUCUUAAAUUCAUACAGCUGUACAGGGUCAAGCGCGUUAAAUUCUGAAUACCACAAGACAUGACUGCAACUUGGUUCAGCCAAAUCCUCUCAACAUUUAUUGAAUACAACAUCAACUCCUCCAAAUUUGGUAAUGCAACCUGCACGAUCAAAAAAUUAACUUGUUAAUUACAAGCAACAAUGAUUUCUGUUGAUGGACAAAUCAAUAAAAUUACUCUUUCUCUGUUUAUAGUUCUUUUCAGUUUUUCAUACAAACAACCGUUAAUCAAGUUUUCCAAAUUAUUCCUUACUAAAUUUUGGUUGAUUCGCAAUAGGACCUACUAUCCAGCGCGAGCAGUUCUCGGGGAUUUAACUACUGGCACCUCGAUUAUAUAAAAAUUUAGACGGCGGCUAAUAUAAUUUAUAUGUAUUCUAAUGACGUAUAUUAAAGAAAAUGAUUAACCAUAAUUUCAAUCAACUUAUUAGUCUAUAUAUAUAUAUAUAUAUAUAUAUAAUAUUCAGCGAUUACAACAUAUUUAGUAUUCCAUAACAUGAUGUUUAUAAUAAUAAUUAUUAUUAAUUCACUUAUUGUGUCAGAGUAUCUUUUCUUUCUCUAAGAAUGUAUUUGUUACACCCUACUAUACUUCGGAUGAAAAAUUUAGAAUAAUUGUGAAAUAUAAUUAUUAAUCACUCUUUGCCAUAUUUGUUACCAAACAGGAAUAUAACAAAGAAAAAAAACAAAAAUUAUAGAGAAUUAAUAAGACGAUUGACUUAUUAAUAACUGACCUUCUCAGGGAAAAGUGUAUUAUAAAUUUGGACAUUGUCCUCCAAAAUGAUUUCAUGUGACUGCAAAUCAUUAGCUGAUUCCUCUUGUCUCUGUUGACAUUGCAGGUAUCUUGAUUUUAGAGUGUAAACUUAAUUGUGAGCACAAUCUUAAUGCAUAGAUACAAGAUCUUUAAAAAUUAGUAUAAGAAACUUAGCACUAAAUCCAAAUUUGAUAUUUUGGAUUCCAUGAUUAAGAUUUUUUAAAUAAAAAUUUAAUAGAGUUAAUUUAAAAAUAAAAAUUAAAUAUGAAAAAUAAACUUGCAAUUAUGGAUUUAAUUUUAAUAAAUAAUGAAUGUUCUCUUUAUAUUUUUUUUAAAAGGUAAAAGAGCGUACAAAGCCCAAAUUCAUUUUUUUAAGUCCUUUACUCUCCCAUGAUUCAAACUUGGGUGGUUGUAGGAGGACUGCAAAUAUAUAAGACAGUUAACUUCACUUUUUUUUUCUUUUUUUUUUUGUUGAGAGAAAAGAGAAGAAGGAUAUUACAAAGCAUGAAGCUCGUGCAAUAUAAGGGCAAUUAUGGUUUUUUCUUUAAAUUAAAAUGGUAAGAUUCUGAAGCUAAAAGAUUAAAAUAUUAAUUAAAUUGCAAACAUUAAAGAUUUUUUUUGCAAAUGGUUGCUUUUAAAAUGAGAAUAAUAUAAUAUUUGAAGACUUUUCAAAAUUAAUUACUGUGAUGCACUAGAAAUUUCUAGCUUUAGUCUAAUGUAUAAAUUGACAAAACGAUAUUCGAAUCCCAGGUGAAAAGAACCCUCUCAUACCAAUUAUUUAAAUUAGGAAUGAUCAUACCUUUGACUCUGCCGGAUUGAGGGCGAGCCAGAGACGCUUGAGAUGGGAAGAGCCCACUUUGACUAAUUCAUUACGAAAAUAAUCGACAUCUUGCUCUUGCAAUCGCCAUAACUCAAGGUCUUCAAUUCUCUGCAGUUGCACGAUCAGCGAAUCCUUCAAGCAAAUCUUGUUAUUUAGCUCGAGACUGAAUUCACGACACCCAAUGCCGGUGCUCUCCCAAUAGCCAUCAUCUCCAAUGCGUAUGCUGUACCUUUCCAGCUUCUCCAAGAGCAGGCCUCUGGGCAGAGUGCUGACGUCACGGGCGCGUAAUUCCAAAGAGGUCAAGUUGGGCAAAUGCUUCAACUCCUCAAGGCUUGCAUUCUUAACCCCUUCUUCCACCUCCACCUCCCAAGCAGCAAAGCUUUGACCUAUAUAUAGUUCUUCUAAACGGGAUAAUUUUGACAGUAUAUUUGGUGGAAU
rnacentral:lncRNA from 1 species